rnacentral:rRNA from 1 species
AAAUUGAAGAGUUUGAUCAUGGCUCAGAUUGAACGCUGGCGGCAGGCCUAACACAUGCAAGUCGAACGGUAACAGGAAGCAGCUUGCUGCUUCGCUGACGAGUGGCGGACGGGUGAGUAAUGUCUGGGAAACUGCCUGAUGGAGGGGGAUAACUACUGGAAACGGUGGCUAAUACCGCAUAACGUCGCAAGACCAAAGAGGGGGACCUUCGGGCCUCUUGCCAUCAGAUGUGCCCAGAUGGGAUUAGCUUGUUGGUGAGGUAAUGGCUCACCAAGGCGACGAUCCCUAGCUGGUCUGAGAGGAUGAUCAGCCACACUGGAACUGAGACACGGUCCAGACUCCUACGGGAGGCAGCAGUGGGGAAUAUUGCACAAUGGGCGCAAGCCUGAUGCAGCCAUGCCGCGUGUAUGAAGAAGGCCUUCGGGUUGUAAAGUACUUUCAGCGGGGAGGAAGGUGUUG